UUAAAAACCUAAGUAUUGAAUCUUUGUUAGAAGAUACAAAGACAAAGAAUCAUACGGACUUUGAAUACACUAUCAAAGCUUUGAGAAGCAAGAAGAAGCUUGGUUAGUGUUUUGGAUUCGAAUAUGACUUGAUGUCAUGUGUAUGACUCUGUAUAAAAACUAGAACCGCAACAUAUCUUAAAAGCAUAAGUAUUGUAUCAUUGUUAGAAGAUACAAUGACGAAGACUCAUACGGACUUCGACUACACCAUCAAAGAUUUGAGAAGCAAGAAGCAGCUUGGUUAGAGUUUUGGAGUCGAAUAUGACUUGAUGGCAUGUGUAUGAGUGAGUAUAAAAACUAGAACCGCAACGGAUCUUAAAAGCCUAAAUAUUGUAUCCUUGUUAGAAGAUACAUAGACAAAGUCUCAUACGGAAUUCGGCUAAACCAUCAAAGCUUUUAGAAGCAAGAAGAAGGUUGGUUAGUGUUUUGGAGUGAAAUCUAACUAGAUGUCAUGUGUAUGAGUGAGUAUACCAACUAGAACCACAAUUGGAAUUUUAAAAGCCUAAGUAUUAUAUCCUUGUUAGAAGAUACAAAGACAAACACUCAUACGGACUUUGGCUACACCAUCAAAGCUUUGAGAAGCAAGAAGAAGCUUGGUUAGUGUUUUGGAGUCGAAUAUGACUUGAUGUGAUGUGUAUGAUUGAGUAUAAGAAAUUAAACCGCAACCGGAUCUUAAAAGCCAAAGUAUUGUUUCCUUGUUAGAAGAAACAAAGGCAAAGCCUCAUACAAACUUUAGCUUUACCAUCAAAGCCUUGAGAAGAAAGAAGAAGCUUGGUUAGUGUUUUGGAGUCAAAUAUUAGUAGAUGUCAUGUGUAUGAGUGAGUAUGACAACUAGAACCAUAACCGGAUCUUAAAAACCUAAGUAUUGAAUCUUUGUAAGAAGAUACAAAGACAAAGACUCAUACGGACUUCGACUACACUAUCAAAGCUUUGAGAAGCAAGAAGAAGCUUGGUUAGUGUUUUGGAUUCGAAUAUGACUUGAUGUCAUGUGUAUGACUCAGUAUAAACACUAGAACCGCAACGGAUCUUAAAAGCAUAAGUAUUGUAUCAUUGUUAGAAGAUACAAUGACGAAGACUCAUACGGACUUCGACUACACCAUCAAAGCUUUGAGAAGCAAGAAGCAGUUGGUUAGUGUUUUGGAGUCGAAUAUGACUUGAUGGCAUGUGUAUGAGUGAGUAUAAAAACUAGAACCGCAACGGAUCUUAAAAGCCUAAAUAUUGUAUCCUUGUUAGAAGAUACAUAGACAAAGUCUCAUACGGAAUUCGGCUAAACCAUCAAAGCUUUUAGAAGCAAGAAGAAGGUUGGUUAGUGUUUUGGAGUGAAAUCUAACUAGAUGUCAUGUGUAUGAGUGAGUAUACCAACUAGAACCACAAUUGGAAUUUUAAAAGCCUAAGUAUUAUAUCCUUGUUAGAAGAUACAAAGACAAACACUCAUACGGACUUUGGCUACACCAUCAAAGCUUUGAGAAGCAAGAAGAAGCUUGGUUACUGUUUUGGAGUCGAAUAUGACUUGAUGUGAUGUGUAUGAUUGAGUAUAAGAAAUUAAACCGCAACCGGAUCUUAAAAGUCUAAGUAUUGUUUCCUUGUUAGAAGAAACAAAGGCAAAGCCUCAUACAAACUUUAGCUUUACCAUCAAAGCCUUGAGAAGAAAGAAGAAGCUUGGUUAGUGUUUUGGAGUCAAAUAUUACUAGAUGUCAUGUGUAUGAGUGAGUAUGACAACUAGAACCAUAACCGGAUCUUAAAAACCUAAGUAUUGAAUCUUUGUUAGAAGAUACAAAGACAAAGACUCAUACGGACUUCGACUACACUAUCAAAGCUUUGAGAAGCAAGAAGAAGCUUGGUUAGUGUUUUGGAUUCGAAUAUGACUUGAUGUCAUGUGUAUGACUCAGUAUAAACACUAGAACCGCAACGGAUCUUAAAAGCAUAAGUAUUGUAUCAUUGUUAGAAGAUACAAUGACGAAGACUCAUACGGACUUCGACUACACCAUCAAAGCUUUGAGAAGCAAGAAGCAGUUGGUUAGUGUUUUGGAGUCGAAUAUGACUUGAUGGCAUGUGUAUGAGUGAGUAUAAAAACUAGAACCGCAACGGAUCUUAAAAGCCUAAAUAUUGUAUCCUUGUUAGAAGAUACAUAGACAAAGUCUCAUACGGAAUUCAGCUAAACCAUCAAAGCUUUUAGAAGCAAGAAGAAGGUUGGUUAGUGUUUUGGAGUGAAAUCUAACUAGAUGUCAUGUGUAUGAGUGAGUAUACCAACUAGAAGCA
rnacentral:sRNA from 1 species